rnacentral:rRNA from 1 species
GCAAGUCGAACGAGAAAGCAUCUUCGGAUGUGAGUAGAGUGGCGCACGGGUGAGUAACACGUAGGUGAUCUACCUAUUGGCGGGGGACAACACGGAGAAAUUCGUGCUAAUACCGCGUAAGGACAACAAAUUUGAAAGUAGUUGUCGAAAGGAUGCCUCUCCUUGGAAGCAUUCGCCGAUAGAUGAGCCUGCGGAGCAUUAGCUUGUUGGUGGGGUAAUGGCCUACCAAGGCAACGAUGCUUAUCGGGUCUGAGAGGAUGAUC